rnacentral:piRNA from 1 species
UAUCUUGAAGACAGAAAGCUUUGCCAUGA